UACGGAGGGGGCGAGCGUUAUUCGGAAUUAUUGGGCGUAAAGGGCGCGUAGGCGGCUGAACAAGUCAAAGGUGAAAUCCCUCGGCUCAACUGAGGAACUGCCUUUGAAACUGUUCGGCUUGAGGCCGGGAGGGGGUAGCGGAAUUCCCAGCGUAGCGGUGAAAUGCGUAGAUAUUGGGAGGAACACCAGUGGCGAAGGCGGCUCACUGGACCGGAACUGACGCUGAGGCGCGAAAGCGUGGGGAGCAAACGGG
rnacentral:rRNA from 1 species